rnacentral:tRNA from 1 species
CCAGAUAGCUCAGUUGGUAGUGCACCUGACUAGAGAUUCAGGGGGCCCGGGUUCGAAUCCCGGUCUGG